rnacentral:rRNA from 1 species
ACUCCUACGGGAGGCAGCAGUGGGAAUAUUGCACAAUGGGCGCAAGCCUGAUGCAGCCAUGCCGCGUGUGUGAAGAAGGCCUUCGGGUUGUAAAGCACUUUCAGUUGUGAGGAAAGGUUAGUCGCUAAUAUCGGCUAGCUGUGACGUUUAGCAACAGAAGAAGCACCGGCUAACUCCGUGCCAGCAGCCGCGGUAAUACGGAGGGUGCGAGCGUUAAUCGGAAUUACUGGGCGUAAAGCGCGUGUAGGUGGCUUGUUAAGCCAGAUGUGAAAGCCCCGGGCUCAACCUGGAACUGCAUUUGGAACUGGACAGGCUAGAGUUUUGUAGAGGGUGGUAGGAAUUUCAGGUGUAGCGGUGAAAUGCAGUAGAGAUCUGAAGGAACACCGGUGGCGAAGGCGAACCACCUCGGCCAAUAACUGACACUGAGACGCGAAGGCGUGGGUAGACAAACGGGAUUAGAAUAGUCCCUGGUAGGCUCCCUGGC